rnacentral:rRNA from 1 species
AGAGUUUGAUCAUGGCUCAGGAUGAACGCUGGCGGCGUGCCUAAUACAUGCAAGUCGAACGAGGUGCUUUUGUAGCAAUACGAGAGUAUCCUAGUGGCGAACGGGUGAGUAACGCGUUGGUGACCUACCCCAAAGUGUGGGAUAACAGUCCGAAAGGAUUGCUAAUGCCGCAUGUGGUCUUCAGAUUUAGAAACUGACGACUAAAGGAGCAAUUCGCUUUGGGAGGGACCUGCGUCCCAUCAGCUAGUUGGUGAGGUAAUGGCUCACCAAGGCGACGACGGGUAGGGGACCUGAGAGGGUGACCCCCCACAAUGGAACUGAAACACGGUCCAUACACCUACGGGUGGCAGCAGUAGGGAAUAUUGCCCAAUGGACGAAAGUCUGAGGCAGCAACGCCGCGUGCACGAUGAAGGCCUUCGGGUCGUAAAGUGCUUUUCUGGGAGAUGAGAAAGGACAGUAUCCCAGGAAUAAGUCUCGGCUAACUACGUGCCAGCAGCCGCGGUAAAACGUAGGAGGCGAGCGUUAUCCGGAUUCACUGGGCGUAAAGCGCGUGCAGGUGGCUUGGUAAGUUAGGCGUGAAAUCUCCCGGCUCAACUGGGAGAGGUCGUCUAAUACUACCGGGCUAGAGAGCAGAAGAGGAAGAUGGAAUUCCCGGUGUAGUGGUGAAAUGCGUAGAUAUCGGGAGGAACACCAGUGGCGAAGGCGAUCUUCUGGUCUGUUUCUGACACUCAGACGCGACAGCUAGGGUAGUAAACGGGAUUAGAGACCCCGGUAAUCCUAGCCGUAAACGAUGUGAACUUGGCGUUGGUGGGUUAAACUCCAUCAGUGCCGCAGCAAACGCGAUAAGUUCACCGCCUGGGGACUACGGCCGCAAGGUUAAAACUCAAAUGAAUUGACGG